rnacentral:lncRNA from 1 species
CCCACUUCUCAGAGUCAUGAUUGAUUUGGCAUGUUCAGAAAAAACUUCUGGGGUAUUAGAGCUCUCAAUCACAAAUUGCCCUCUUCGGUUGCUCUCGGGUUGGCUAGGUAAUUUUUCUCCUUCUCUCCUACUGAAUGCAGUCGCUAGUUGACCUAUUUGGGUCUCUAGCUUAGCAAUGGAUUGUGUAUGGGAGUUAAGGGUCUGAGUGUUGACUUCUAAUCGUUCUAGUGCUUUCAGAACUUUUUUCUCAAAAGCUGAGCUGUGACCAGUAGUAGACGGUUGAGGAACAUUUUAAAAUUGAUGGUAUGGUCCAUGCCUAUAUGUUGGGUCCUGAUAUUGAGGUCGAGGUGCGACAGGGCCAACGACUGGUUGUGGUCUCCAGAAAAAAUUUGGAUGGUUUCUCCAGCUGGGGUUAUAAGUGUUCGAAUAAGGAUCGUUUCCUGGUCUGCGAGCUUGUUGGACUUGAGCUUGCUGAA